CCGUCGGCCUGCUGCUGCUGACGAUGAUUCCUGAUGCUGUAAACACUAAACAUGGCGUUGGCUCGGCUCUGCGUGGUCCACCAGUCCUUCCUCGGCAGGGCUUUAUUUAGACACGCAGAGGCCCCUGGAGUGCUGUCGGUGGCAUACAAACAGAGUGUGGCACAACAGCUUGGCCUGCCAGAGCCCCCCAAGCGUCCCCUUGCACCUCACGUUCGCUUCAUUAAGGACCGAAUUGAAGAAUUUAAUAAAAAGUAUCCCAACUUGACAAAUCAAGAGGUAUUUGCCAAAACCCUGGAUCACUGGAAAUCUCUCAAUUCUUUGGAGAAAAGUAAAUGGACUUCUGAAUAUAAUAGAGAAAGAGAAGUUUAUAAUGCAGUAUAUAAAGCAUAUGUUCAGAAGCUGAGCCCAUCUCAGCUGGAGAGCAUAAAGGCACUGAAGAGAAAACGUUCUGAGGACAAGGCAAAGCGAACAUCGAGACGAGAUAAGAAAAGAGAGAGUGAGGAUCUGGGCAAACCUAAGUACCCGGGCAAUGCUUUCUUUCUCUACAUAUCCACACUUCAACGGGGAGAUUCAACUGGAAAGGAGUUUGUAAAAGAAGCAGCCCAAAGCUGGCACUCAUUGCCAGAAAGAAAACAGCAAGUGUACCGAGAAAAGGCCAAGAAGAUGCUGGAGGAAUACCAUGAGGAGCUGCUUCAGUGGGAGGCAAAAAUGGUGCAGAAAGGGAGGUUAGACCUUGUGCGGACAAACCAACUUGGAGGAGAGCUUCGGGAUGGGAUCCGAGGACGUAAAAAGCAAAAUUAGGGACUCGCCUCAGGUGGUGGUGAGAGGGAGGCUGACCCAUCUUGGCCGUCGGUGGAGAGGGAGAGGCAUGGUGUGUCAUUAGAGUUAGGCAGGGCAAACUCUACUAAAGUUCAAGGAAAAGGAAAGAAAAAUAAAGAUCUGUCAUCAUUACCAUCAUCUCUUCACCUGACACCCAAUGUAGGUCAGAAGAGAAGGCCCAAAAAACAAAAAAAGAAUGAUAAAAGACAGACUGGUGUAACUACAACUCAAGUAGGUGAAGAUGGAUCUGGUGUUGAUAGAUAUUUAUUGCCAAGUAGAAGGAAAGUAAGGAACAAAAGUGAAGUAACAGAUCAUUCUUCACUUCAUGUAGUUCCCACACUAUCACCUGAUGAAAUUUCACCGAGUAGUCUUUACAGAGAUAUUUCUCAGUUCAGAGAAAUUAGGUACCUUAAUUUGUUUUGCUGGAUAAGAUCAGUGUAUGAUUAUAAAAGAUUUUGUUCACUAUUAACUGAAUUGGAAGUUAAAGAGCUUGCAUCAGUGUAUCAUAAAAAAUAUUUGGUCAUUUCACAUGUAAGAAUUUCAAAAAGUACACUGAAAGAAAGCAGUAUUGGUGUAAAAGGUGAAUAUAAUUUAUUGGACAAAGAAAAUGAAGGUGCAAGUAUAUUGGAAGCCAGUGUAGUCAAUGGACAGUGGCCUGUCAUUGCGGAUGUUCAUCGUGAUGACUCGCUGGAUCCUGAUGUGUCAAGACAGUUUUCAGAGUCUGUCUCCACCUUGGCUCACCUUCCAGAUAACUCCUUUCUUAAUAAUGAAGGGAUAAUGCAAGAACAAACUGAGAACUCAUAUUUAUGUUAUCACUCACAGGUCUGGCUGUGAAAACCAGGUAAGUAUUGGGUCAUGAAUGUAUGAAAGAAUAGCAGAGUUCUAGUUUUGUGAAUUAAGUAAAAAUAAUGUUUUGUACUGAAUGAAACCUUGUACAUAUUUAUUAAUCAAGAAAUCAAUUAGUUUUAACUGGAUUAUUGUGUCAAUACCUCUGCGAGCUUAGCCAUCAGCUAGCUUUGAGCCCAGCCUUGACCUGCAUGGUGGAGUUUCAUGUGUUGACUCUACUGGACAGCAGCAACCUUCAGAAAGUAUCAAACUGUUGUGGUGCUGCGUUGUGUUCCCUUGGACUGCUUUGAGUUAUGAUAAAUCUGUAUGACUUCCAUAUCCUAACUAAGAAAAGACUGGCACAUUUACCUCAUGGUGUGGUAACCAGUCUGGUGCAGAGAUAAACAUGUUUAGCUGUAUGCUUGAUGAAGGGAUCAUGAU